ensembl:lncRNA
AUGGGAGAGAAGAUUACAGAACACCUUCUGCAGACAAUCACUUCUGAAGUCAAGACAACACUGAAGGAUCACUUCAAAAAAUUUGACAGUGGUUUAGGCUACAUCCUAGAAUCCUUAAGGCAAAACUUUUUGGCAUUUGAAAAGAAAAAUACAGACACAUAUGAGGCUCUUGUUGAGGCUGUCAGCRUCAUCAUUAUUACAGAAUAUGUCCAGGCCCUCCUGACCAUUUCCAGGAAACCAUCAUCUGGGCAGAGGAGGAGGAUUGUCAGCAAGAUAGAAGAUGACCAUAGGAUGUUGCAAAGCAUCUUUAAAGAGUGCUUAGGUCCUAAAGCAAGUUCCCUCAAGGAUCCAAUAAAAGCAAUUAUAGGACUUAUUCAAACUUCUGAUGCCGAGGGAAUGAAAAUAGCCCUUCURCCCAUUCUGAGAGAAUUUCCUGAUCUAAGGAAAGAACAUCUGAGYGUUGUGCUGGACCUCAAAGACUCACUCAGCCGAGAAGACAGAGCCGCUCUCUUGAACACAUUUCAUGAUAAUUGUGGGGAAACAGGAACAAACUUGCUUUUUGGAGAUAUAGAGGUAAAGCCUAGGACGUGCGGGCUCUGUGGCUGCUUCUGUUGUUAGCAAAGAUCUGCUCUGAAAAAACAUGAGGUGUCUCUGCCCCGUGGCAGCACCUGCAAUCACAGCUCCUUGGGGGUUUCUGGGACUGGUGCAGUCGGAGGCACGAAGAAGCAGGCCAGCCGCAGAAGACACAACUCCUGCMCUUUUUCAAGAAAACCACGAGGCCCAAAUCCUAAUCUAUGCAAAAGCUGGAUGGUGCAUGAAUAGGUCAAAGCAGAGUGACAUUCCUGCAACAUUUCCUAGAGACUGCUGCUUAGCUGAGUCCUGGGGGUCAUUCCCAGGAUGCGGCAUAGUGCUGCGUGGAGGGGGAAAACCCCCAAUUUCUUACUGUUUCCCUCCCUUGUUCUACACACGACCUCAGACRUAACCAGGGACUGCUGUCCCGCCCUAGCGGGUGACACGGCACCUCCGCAUCCCACGCUGACCCUGGUCCAGCCCCRUAACCUCGGUCCUGGUUCCCACAUGGGAGCCAUGCAGAGAGGGGCUGCGACCCGCCGUGGGGACAGCCUGCUGGGCGGAAAGGAGCCAUUUCCAACAUUGCAUUGAGGCCACCAGCCCCCCGAGCGGGAGCGGGGACAGCUUGCACCCCACUGGGCCCCCCCUGCCCGGGGCACCGGCUGCUCGCCGGGAUGCCGGUCCCGCACGAGUUUUACAGYCGGCUCUGCGGCUGAGCUUUGCACUCAUUUUAUACCUCAGUCAAUGGAAAUUUCCUCUUGCUGUGGAAAGCAGCUCCUUUGGGGAGGGACCUCUUGCUGUGGAGACUCUCGUGGGAAGCCGGCAGUGAAAGGCGCUGCUGGUCCCAACCUCUGGGCAAGGCGUGCUGCUUUCAGAUGUAAAUAGGCAGUUCYGCUGGGGGAAGCACUGACCUUUCUUGCCAGCUGUCUGCGGCCUGGUCACAGCCUCCGAGCUGGACGUGGYUCCAGGCCCCAUUUGCUGUUGCACUGAUGUAGGUCAUUACCGUUGGGCUCCUCUCCGGCCGGGUCAGCAGGCUAAGGGUGCGGAAACGUGCUGCCGCCUCCCACACUCAGGUUUUCCUGAGCAGCCAUUCCUGCUCGGACAUGCUUUCUCCCCCUCAUCUCCUGGCAUGUAAACAGGCUUUUAUUUAACAAGAAAAGGGGCAAAUCUGUGAAUAACCUGUAAGCGCGCCAGGCCGUGGGCACCGCUGCUCCCGAGACCCCGGGAGAGUGCCGGCCUGGGCAGGCACCGCAGCACCGCACCGCGCGCCAAGCCCUGCGCAGCCGGCAAUAAAACCACGUCGUCUGGGGAGGGCCA